rnacentral:piRNA from 1 species
AAGAAGUGAAAAUAGCCUUAACUGAUGACAUU